UACAGAGGGUGCAAGCGUUGUUCGGAAUUACUGGGCGUAAAGGGUUCGUAGGCGGCCAACUAAGUCAGACGUGAAAUCCCUCGGCUUAACCGGGGAACUGCGUCUGAUACUGGAUGGCUUGAGUUUGGGAGAGGGAUGCGGAAUUCCAGGUGUAGCGGUGAAAUGCGUAGAUAUCUGGAGGAACACCGGUGGCGAAGGCGGCAUCCUGGACCGACACUGACGCUGAGGAGCGAAAGCCAGGGGAGCAAACGGG
rnacentral:rRNA from 1 species